UACGAGGGGUCCUAGCGUUGUCCGGAAUCACUGGGCGUAAAGGGCGCGUAGGCGGCGCGGUAAGCGUGCGGUGAAAGCCCGGGGCUCAACCCCGGGUCGGCCGUGCGGACUGCCGGGCUGGAGCACUGUAGAGGCAGGUGGAAUUCCGGGUGUAGCGGUGGAAUGCGUAGAGAUCCGGAAGAACACCGGUGGCGAAGGCGGCCUGCUGGGCAGUAGCUGACGCUGAAGCGCGACAGCGUGGGGAGCAAACAGG
rnacentral:rRNA from 1 species